GGCAGUGUAGUCUAGUGGAUAGGGCACUGGACUGGGUAUCAGAGGAGCUGGGUUUUAAUCCUAGCUCUGUUG
rnacentral:tRNA from 1 species